GGCAUUCUCGUUUGUUUAAUAAUAUUCUUAUUUUGUUAGUCUCGUUCGUUGUGCACUCUGAUAUUCAACUUAAUUUACCUAUUGUUUAAUCAAAUAAAAAAAUAACGAUCUAUUGUUUCAUUUUAAUGGUGAUAAUUUGUCUUGGUUUAGUUUUUACGAAAUAAUUUAGGCACUGUUUAACUUGACCAAAAUAAUGUAACUACUAUUUUAAUUUACCUACAAAAUAAAUGCUAUUUGAUUCAAAAUUAAUUUACUUAUAUUUAACAUAUAAAUAUAGAUUAAUUAUUUUUAACAUGCAUAUAUAAUAACAAAUAAAAAAUGUCUAAUCUAUGUAAAAUAAUUUACCUACAACAUAAAGAACAUUAAUUGGUUUGUUUUU
rnacentral:lncRNA from 1 species